GACGAACGCUGGCGGCGUGCUUAACACAUGCAAGUCGAACGGAAAGGCCCUGCUUUUGUGGGGUGCUCGAGUGGCGAACGGGUGAGUAACACGUGAGUAACCUGCCCUUGACUUUGGGAUAACUUCAGGAAACUGGGGCUAAUACCGGAUAGGAGCUCCUGCUGCAUGGUGGGGGAUGGAAAGUUUCGGCGGUUGGGGAUGGACUCGCGGCUUAUCAGCUUGUUGGUGGGGUAGUGGCUGACCAAGGCUUUGACGGGUAGCCGGCCUGAGAGGGUGACCGGCCACAUUGGGACUGAGAUACGGACCAGACGCGUACGGGAGGCAGCAGUGGGGAAUAUUGCACAAUGACCGGAAGCCUGAUGCAGCGACGCCGCGUGCGGAAUGACGGCCUUCGGGUUGUAAACCGCUUUCGAAUGUGCCGAAGCGUGAGUGACGGUAAUGGGUCAGGAAGCACCGGCUAACUACGUG
rnacentral:rRNA from 1 species